GGCAGCACGGGGGCAACCCUGGUGGCGAGUGGCGAACGGGUGAGUAAUACAUCGGAACGUGUCCAGUCGUGGGGGAUAACCAGUCGAAAGACUGGCUAAUACCGCAUGCGCCCGAAAGGGGAAAGCGGGGGACCGCAAGGCCUCGCGCGAUUGGAGCGGCCGAUGUCCGAUUAGCUAGUUGGUGAGGUAACGGCUCACCAAGGCUACGAUCGGUAGCUGGUCUGAGAGGACGACCAGCCACACUGGGACUGAGACACGGCCCAGACUCCUACGGGAGGCAGCAGUGGGGAAUUUUGGACAAUGGGGGCAACCCUGAUCCAGCCAUGCCGCGUGUGUGAUGAAGGCCUUCGGGUUGUAAAGCACUUUCGGACGGAACGAAAUUGCACGGGCGAAUAUCCCGUGUGGAUGACGGUACCGUAAGAAGAAGCACCGGCUAACUACGUGCCAGCAGCCGCGGUAAUACGUAGGGUGCGAGCGUUAAUCGGAAUUACUGGGCGUAAAGGGUGCGCAGGCGGCCCCGCAAGUCAGGCGUGAAAUCCCCGAGCUUAACUUGGGAAUUGCGCUUGAAACUACGGGGCUGGAGUGUGGCAGA
rnacentral:rRNA from 1 species